UACAGAGGGGGCAAGCGUUAUUCGGAAUUAUUGGGCGUAAAGGGCGCGUAGGCGGCUUUGCAAGUGACGGGUGAAAGCCCUCGGCUUAACCGAGGAACUGCCUGUCAGACUGUAAGGCUUGAGACCGGGAGAGGUGAGUGGAACUGCGAGUGUAGAGGUGAAAUUCGUAGAUAUUCGCAAGAACACCAGUGGCGAAGGCGGCUCACUGGCCCGGUACUGACGCUGAGGUGCGAAAGCGUGGGGAGCAAACAGG
rnacentral:rRNA from 1 species